GAGAGGAAAACACGAGUAUGCAUUAUAUUACGAAACAGGGGGGGACACGCAAUGUAGCAAACCCCUCUGCUACUAUUUAUUCAUUAAAGCCUUAAUGGCAAAACUAAUGGCACAGUUGCACACUCCAUUGUCGGAUUAACAACAGCAUGAACUGAAGUCAUCAAACAUCAAAAAUAACAUAUGCUGCCCUACAUAACACCAGAAGAGACAACCUUUGAUGGUUGGACGGAUCAGCAAGCAGCGCAGCGGAGGUAGUAAACAGGUGGACGGAUCAGCAAACGGCGGCGUGGAGGUGGCAUGCAGGCGGCCAUGAUAGCGAGAAUAAUGAUGAGUACCAUGACAAUCCCCUUCAAAUCCAAACCAUUACUGCCGUCACAAAAUUGAGUGCACAUGAUCUUGCCCAUAUUCUAAACCUUGUAAUAAGAGCCUCUUUUUUGGUCCUUCCGUGCUCUCCUCUGAAAUGGAAACGCAACAAUAAAGAGAAAUGAUAGGUGAUUUUUUGUUUGGUUCAAUUCAAGUCAAGUUAGCGUAGGAAAUGUUUAACAUAAGCUUUAUUUCAUUGGUAAAUGGAAGACUUGGGAAAUGUCUAGUCAAGUGUUUUUGGACGACUAUGAGCUUCUCCUGAGUGGAAAUUCUUGCCUUGGCGUAGAGAACGAAUAAGAUGUUAGCUUACAACUAUAUAUUUUUUUAAGAAGGGAAGAAAAAUAAUCUGCACUAAGCAACAUCUAGAAUAAGAAUAAGAUAUGCUUGCUAG
rnacentral:misc_RNA from 1 species